UCCCAAUUCUUGAAAGCUUACGUGCGCGAUGAUGAAAACUUGGUUCCUUACAUUCGCAGUUUCCACGGUAGGAGUACGCCAACGAACCCAUCGUAUAGUGCUCCCGGUGACCGCUCUUCUUGAGACCUUCCUAGGAUGUCUGAGUGCACGUUUGCUAGUUGGAAUUA